rnacentral:lncRNA from 1 species
AAGACUAGAGUGGUGAUCGCCUCAGAGGUCUGGGAGGGUUAACCGAGUUCAUAUCUUUAAAGAAGGGAGGACAAUGCUGGUCCAAGCAGAAGCUGAGUAAAUGUUAGCCACUGUUACAGGUCAGAGGAGAGCUGGGGGGCCAGGCCGUGGCCUCCUCAGGCCCUAGGCCCUGAAUUGGAGCUGUGUCCAAACCCAAGUGUGAUGAGAGGUGACCAGUUGUCCGGGCUCCCCGUGCUGGGGCGGGAGGAGGUAACCAUGGCAACACCUGUCGGUUAUCAGCCGUUGUUUCUUUGGAGCUCCCAAUUCAUCAGCUGACUAGAUCCACGUUCUACUCUCUUGGCCUUCUUCCGUGCUCACUGGAUAAACUAGGAGCGUUUGUGGAUGCCCCAUCUUAGGUCUGCAUUGUUCUGAGGAUUUCGUGAAUCAGAAUCUCUGAGAUGGGUGGAGAUGAAACGGGCUUGCCUGGUGUGAAAGAUCCAGGACAUUCAGGUGUGUUCCCCUGGUUACCAGCCUUUGAAUUAGGCCCACACUAGCCAGCCUCACAGGGUCAUGAGAGUCACGUGAGUUGCUUAUGAAACUAUAAAUUCCCUGGCCCCACCAACCUCCAGAGCUGCUGACUCAGCAGGUCCAGUGGAGGGCAUAGAAACGGGUGUGGAUAACAGCUGCUCCAAGUAAUUCAUAUAAAUGUACCCAAAUUAGUUAAUACUUAUCUAUUCAAAAAAUAUUCGUCGAACUCCUUCUAUCAUGCUGAAUGCUGGGAAAACAGAGGAAUCCGAUCCCUCUGGCCUACAGGAGCCCAUGGAGAAUGCAAAUAAUGGCAGGGCUUAUUGCUUACAGAGUGCUUUCACAAGCACUGUUCAUUGGAUGCUCACAACAGUCUUGAGAGUUGUGGGUCCUUCUGGCUGUGGCAUGUGGGACGCUGCCUCAGCGCGGCCACUGAGCGGCACCAUGUUCUCGCUGAGGACUCGAACCGGCGAAACCCCGGGCCGCCUGCAGCGGAGCCCAGGAACUUAACCACUCGGCCACAGGGCCGGCGCCAGAGUUAAAUUUUUUAUAAUAUUACUACUAUUGUCUUUUAAUAAAAGUAUAAUUUGCUUAUUUCAACAUUUCA